GCCCUGGCCUGGCUGGGGGUCCCGGCGCAGCCACGAAGGCAGCACCGCCGAACCACGAGCUGGGGAGGAGCGAAGACCAACGAAGGACUCCCGGCCGUCUGUGUGCUCGGAAAACGGAGAAUGACAUGGAAAGGGGGUGAACGGGACGUCUGCUUUUGGUGUCCACUUUCUGUUGCCGCUUCUAGACGGCCGAGGGCAGCUCUUCAUCCGAGGUCUUCCUCGUCUUUGGCACCUGUGAACGUUCGCACCCAGGGUUGACACAGCCUCUGAAAUGCCUUUUUUCGAGCAAUUGGCCAGGAACCUGGGGUGCCAUCACACUGCUUACCUACAGCCAGUGCACUCCUGGCAUUCCUCUGGCCUGGAUGAGGAGGAAGGCACUGGGCCUGCCCGCCGAGGGGUUCUGAGUACAGAGGAUGAUGUGUUGGCAGCAGAGGGCAGGCCGGCUCCUCCAGAGUCAGGGAGGCAGCAUCGAGUACUGCGUUUUAGGCU